rnacentral:lncRNA from 1 species
GGCUGACGUGGCCUCAGCACAGGACAUGUUUUAGCAUAGCUGAGCUGCUGUAGUGUUACUGUUGCUGUUAGACGUGCUUUGAGGUAGCUGAGACUGUUUGCAGCGUUAUUGAAAUGAAGUGGAAAUGAGUUGAGUGUGUUUUUUGUGUAGGUCCUGGAUAAGAAAAUGAUCCAGCUACCCAGUGAGAGAAGUGUAGAGUGAAUCAGCAGUGAUGCAGGCCCUGUGUGCGAUGAUAAAUCACAGAAGCUCGACAGCCAGCGUCGGUACACACAGCAGCUGACCCUCAGGCGUUUGCAGUGUCGGUCCUCUGAGGGUCAGACGGAGGGACCUGAAUGGACCAUGGUCUGCUGCCUGUGGAGAUGAAGGUGGAGGAGAAGCUGGAGGUGAAGGUGGAGCUGCUGAAGUUCUGCUUGGCAGUCUUUAACACCGUGUUUCUGUUUGUGGGUCUGAGUGCGGCCGGCUGUGCGAUCUGGAUCCUGUUCGACAGAGGAAACUUCCUGAACUCCCUCCCCUUCGGUAAAGACUGCAGCUUUAAAGGAUCAGCCCAACAUUUACAAAGAGGACGCUGCUUUAGCCUAGCUUAGCACAAAGACUGUAAACAAGGGGGAACUGUUAGCAUAGCUCAAUGACACUGUGUGUGUGUGUCUGUCUGUCUCUGUGUGUGUGUCUCUGUCUCUGUGUCUCUGUUUGUGCAGAGGAGCUGCAGGUGGUGUCCGUGGGCCUGCUGGUGAUCGGUGGUGUUGGCGGUCAGCGUGGCAGCGACCUGUGAGAUCAGGUUCCUACUGCUGACGGUGAGUCAGCGUAACGUCUGAUGCUGCAUUCAGGUCACGUGGGAAAAUGCUGCGACCACAUCCAGGGCUCAGUCAGGUGUUUUUUACCUGUGUCCCUCGGCUGAUGUGUGGUGGGUUUCCCCCCCCCAGGUGCUGCUGAUUGGCUGAGCAACACCUACAUCCAGAGCCUGAACCUGACGAGUCCAGAUGUGCUUCCGUGUUCCUGCUUUCACUCGUUUCAGCGCAGCGUCAACUCUUCCUGGUGCUCCGAGCUGCUGAACCUCACUCUGAUUGGCCAAGGGAGCGGCACGAGCUCGCUCCUGAGGGGGCGCCGGCGGCUCUAAACCUGCUGUGUUUCAUAUCGCUGGUGUGAUGUGAUGUUUUACCCAUGAUGCUGCUGGGUUUGUGGUUUUCAGGGCUGCAGUCAGACGUUCAGUGAUUGGCUGCAGGAGAACUCCCUGACCAUCAUCGCCAUGGACGUCGCCCUGCAGUUACUGCAGGUAGUAACACUGCACUGCCUGCAGAGGGUGCAAACACACCUUUGUCACAGUCUGAGGGUUUUUAUGUGUCUUCACUGAGUCACCAGCAGAUCACUUUGACG